rnacentral:rRNA from 1 species
UACGGGGGGGGCAAGCGUUGUUCGGAAUUACUGGGCGUAAAGGGCGCGUAGGCGGUUCGCUAAGUUGAAUGUGAAAACUCUGGGCUUAACCCAGAGCCUGCAUUCAAUACUGGCGGGCUAGAGUUCUGGAGGGGAUAGCGGAAUUCCUGGUGUAGCGGUGAAAUGCGCAGAUAUCAGGAGGAACACCGAUUGCGAAGGCAGCUCGCUGGAACGUUACUGACGCUGAGACGCGAAAGCGUGGGGAGCAAACAGG